ensembl:snoRNA
UGCAGCCCCGUCAAAUUCGGUGCCAUCCUCUGUGGUUGGUACUGGCCCAGUUGGCUGCCACAUUAAUCGCUGUAGCUCCGGAGCCCCAGCUCUCCCUCACCAAGCGCUGGGGACGAGAACACCCUGCGGACACUU